rnacentral:miRNA from 1 species
AGGAGGUCGUAGGUCAUGCAGA